rnacentral:lncRNA from 1 species
CUGUUCGGUCAGCAUAUGCCCUACUGUUGGGGAGAGAGGACCCAAAUCUCAGUGUUAAGUUUACCAGAUCCCAUAAUGUGGAUGUCACCAGUGGCUGGGCAAUCUUGUGUCUGGAAACCAAGGUCUCCUGAGGCCAGGAAACAGUCCAAGAGCAGUUUCUUAAGCAGUGAUGUCAGACACAAGUCGAAGGUAACAAGCAAAAAGAAUAAAUUGAAGUGAGAG